UUUCCCACGUAUGUAUGCGUACACCGCGGCGUCCGCUAUACGCCGUUGUGUCUGAAGUUAGGCGCCGCACCGGUCAAAUCGAGCACGCAACCACCGAAUAUCGAUGUUCUGCGAUUGUUGCUUUAACAGCGUUGCGAGUUUUUUUAGCCUCCCUCACCUGUUUCCACGUUCUACCGUCGUUUCACGAAUCGCGUGUAAGCCACACGUUCUUACGUGUCUUCCGACUUUACGAGCGUAAUUCUUUUUGUACGCUCGUGCCUUUAUCGAGUGAAACGUUGUUCCGUACGGCUGUCUGUCUUCAAGCGUGUACGUACGCGACACGAGAUGAGUGUAUGACCCUUUUCUCCCUUCCCCUUCCCGCCGUCCCGCAGCCAUUGUUGCCCGUAGAUUCGUUACCCAGAUAUUUUUAUAAUUGUCUCACGAGACAAUCGACCUCUCAUGGGAGCUUUGCAGUCUCAUAAUUAUAUUCGAUACACUGGAUUGAGAUGAUGCAAAAUUUUGUUAUAUUGACGCGGCAACAAAUCUGCCGAAAGUAAACUUAUUAUGCGUCUCUCUGUCUUUCAUAUCAUAUCUUAUGCAAUUUUGAGGAAAUUUUUACCAUCUCUUUCAUAUUUCUGUCAUACUCUGUGUAAAAAAAUACGAAUACUAUGUGAAGUCUGACACAACGGCCGCUUUUACGUAAAGUGUAGGUAGGUAAGAUUGCUGCCAAAUUUUCGCAUGUCUGUCUAUUUAGGUGACUGCUCGAACUCGCGUGAUUGUACCAGGAUACUUCGAACGAUACGCUCGCGAGUGCCAAGAAAUACGUGACUCCUAGUGCACAUAGUAUUUCCCGCCAUUAUUGCAGCAGGUUUAUAGCGGCGGACUUUUCCGCUGAUAAUUCGAGCCAACUUUUCCUUCGCGGAAAUGUUCGGUCACCCGACUGCCUUGAGGAUGACGAGGAUUUGGAACAGCGCGAAGAGGUUCACGGGGAGCCGACAUUUUACAUACCUCGUCUACGGACGGAUCCCUCGCAGAACUGUCUCGGCGGUUCUUCACAAAGUGUCCGCUCGCGUGACCGAAUCUUCGGCUGGGAUCCGAGCCAGGGACGAGAGGGAUAAAAUAGACGCGAGAGGUUUAUUCGAGGAUACGGAGUACUAUUCCCGAACGUUAAGUUGCACAUGCAUUCGCCGUGAAUGCACCCGCUGCGGGCACGCGUGCCAGCUGGAAGAGGUGUAUCGCUCUGUUUAGUUUCACUUCUUUCGCAGAGAUCUAUUUCCCGAUAGACAGGAGAAUCGUGAUAUUCCGAGCCCGAUGGGCGAGAAAUCGGCGAGUGCGCUUACCUGAUCUAACCUCCGCGAUUGUCCGUAUAAAAACGUCCGUAUACGCGCGACGACGGCGUCAGUUGUCCCAUGUGAAGUUGCAUCCUUCCUAAGUAUCAUUCAUGGAAUCGCGAUUGCGAUAUCGCGGUGCAACUUCACAUGGUAAUAAUCUGGUAAAUCUGUGACGUCUGUCGCGAGUGUGACAUGUAACAGCGAUAAUAAUUAACGACUGGACGCGACUUCUUCGACAGAAUGUAUAAUCAAUUCGCUAUAGCCCAGCAUCCACGUGCAGGAUGAAUAAUCCAUGAGACAGCGUGAAGUUGAUUGAGAUGCGACAAAAAUGUAGACAUCUGCGCGAAACAGGUGUAGGUACAUUAGAUCGGCCGGAUGGGACAGACGAAUCGGAGAGAAAGUGCAGCUGAAAAGAACUGACCUCUUCUAUUGCCGGAGCACGCGUAGGUGCACCAAGUUGGUGCGACCACUUGGUGUCCAUUAACAACGACACCGUAUCACGCGUGCAUGUACAAUGCACGCGACACUUUAAACUGCGAUCACGCCACGACGGGCGCGAGAAAAAUGUCGAUUUUAGCGUGCUGCGUCGCAAAUGCGCUCGUGGAUGCUCCGAUGACUCGACGAAUAGUUCAGCGGAAAGAGAGAAAGAGAGAGAUGAUCGGUACAUAAUUGUUGUAGUUUUCUGAAAAAGUAUCGGGAGGUGUGUGUGUGUGUGUGUGUGUGUGUAAUUUUUAUUUAACGGCCACUUCGCUCGAUUAAGUCGACUGGUCGUGGUAGUGAUCGAGAUGUGAAUACCUUUGAAUUUAAUUAGUCGGAUGUAAAAAUUGCGCUUGAUGACCUCGAUGUUGAUGCUGUAUGUCGAACGGCGUACGAUGGACGCUCUUAUUUUUUUCAAGUAGCAAGUUCCCACACAAGUCAUUUGGAAAUCUACGGAAAGAAUAUACUUGAUCGCUACACUCGUAUGAGACUAUCAUUAGGUGAUUUCAAAACUUGUUAUUUCAGUUUGAUAAUUGGUACUUAAGGCGUAUUGAUAAAAUUAUGUUUAUGUUUCGAUCACGCAAACUUACAAUUAUCGCGAGCUUAAAAAUACGCGCUUCAGGAAUAUACGUAUGAUGAAAUAAUACAUUUAUGUUACUGAUGGCAAAUGUAUGUAUGUAUGUGUGUGUGUGUGUGUGUGUGUAUAUAAUACGAAGAAAGGGGGAGGGCUAUUGAAUAAUUACACAUAUUGAAUACAUAUCGAAUAUUCGUUUCUACAGAGAAAUCAAUCGAAAUUUCACAAUGUAGACAUCUAUGAGAGAAAAGGAAAAGCGACACUCGAAGAAGAUAAAGUUUACUCUACAAAUUUGUAUUUAAUAGAGUUUUGUCAUCAAUAUAAAUUCUGAUUCAAGUGGUUAAUAACUUAUUUUGCAGUGAAUUCAGGUUCAUCACGUAUAUUAUGUACAUAUAAUAACAGUCAUAACAUAAAUAGCAUCGUUAAGCAUAUCAAUAAAAACUCUAUACAUGUUUACAGAAGAAUCAGUCUUAUUGCAUAUUUUAUAAAGAAUGAGGAAUAUUUUAUAUAAGUAAUAAGUAUAAGUACAUCUUUAUAUAAGUAAUAAGAAUACAUCUCACGCUGUAGUAUCGUUUGGAUAUUAACGCUUCUGUGAAAAGAAGGUAAUAAAAUAGUAUCUUAUGAACAUUGCUAAUAUACAUGGCGAUGCAUCACAUCAUUAAUUUACAAUUCUCUCCUUAAGGCUCCUAUUUCCUCACUUUGGUCACCUUAAAUAAUGUCAAAAGCGAAGAAAUUUAUUUAAAAUACUUUCUGCAAAGCACAUUCAAGCAAAAUACAGCCAUAAAGUGAUAUUUGUGAUUAAUCAGGUUCUUAUAAUAUCGAAAACAUUUUUUAAUAAUAAAAAUAAUCACAAUAAUAAAAUUAGCUCGUUAUAACGACUAACUAACUAUGUGAUUUUGUCAUAUUAAUAACUAGUUAUAGUUACAACUAUAAUUGUUAUCAAUAGCAUUGGAAUAAAAAAAGUUUUUGGGCUAUUGUAUAAAUGUUAUUUUAUGAGUGUUACUUUACUCAAAUUCUUAGUUGCCAUUUUUUUUUCUUUUGAUAUAAUGAAGAUGACGGCGGCGAGGAAACGGGAAUAUUAAGUAUUUCAUCUUAUUAUGUAUGUAUGUAUGUAUGUACACUUGAUUCUUUACAGCUCCUCCAGUCUCAGCCCUGAUUCAACU